GAUUUUCUCGAGCCAUGUAUUGUCCCCUAGGAUUACUUAGUGGUUGGCUUGGAAGCUUUCCUUCCUCUCGCUUGUUCAGUGCAUUAGCUAGUUGCCCCAUUUGGGAUUCUAGCUUGGCGAUGGAUUGUGUGUGAGAGUGCACUAAUUGUGUAAUAGUUUCCAAACCUUGAAGGGCGUUCAACACUUUCUCCUCAAAGGCUGUGUUUCUUUGGGGUGG
rnacentral:lncRNA from 1 species